rnacentral:rRNA from 1 species
AUGAACGCUGGUGGCGUGCUUAAUACAUGCAAGUCGAACGAAGCGACCCGCCCGAUGAUUGAAGUGGCUUGCUACGGAUUGAUUCAACUGGGUUGACUUAGUGGCGGACGGGUGAGUAACGCGUGGGUAACCUGCCUUAGACAGGGGGAUAACAGUUAGAAAUGACUGCUAAUACCGCAUAUGCGCACAGUAUCGCAUGAUACAGUGUGGAAAACUUUUUGUGGUCUAAGAUGGACCCCGCGUCUGAUUAGCUAGUUGGAGGGGUAACGGCCCACCAAGGCGACGAUCAGUAGCCGACUUGAGAGAGUGAUCGGCCACAUUGGGACUGAGACACGGCCCAAACUCCUACGGGAGGCAGCAGUAGGGAAUAUUGCACAAUGGGGGAAACCCUGAUGCAGCGAACCGCCGCGUGAGUGAUGAAGUAUUUCGGUAUGUAAAGCUCUAUCAGCAGGGAAGAAAAUGACGGUACCUGACUAAGAAGCACCGGCUAAAUACGUGCCAGCCGCAGC